rnacentral:rRNA from 1 species
GACGAACGCUGGCGGCGUGCUUAACACAUGCAAGUCGAACGGAAAGGCCCAGCUUUUGUGGGGUGCUCGAGGGGCGAACGGGUGAGUAACACGUGAGUAAGCUGCCCUGGACUGGGGGAUAACUUGAGGAAACUGGGGCUAAUACCGGAUAGGAGCUCCUGCUGCAUGGGGGGGGUCGGAAAGUAUCGGCGGAUGGGGAUGGACGCUGGGCUAGUCAGCUUGUGGGUGGGGGAGUGGCUAAGGAAGGCUUCGGCGGGUGGCCGGCCUGAGAGGGUGGCCGGCCACAUUGGUACUGCGGUAGGGCCCAGUCUCGUACAGUAGGCAGCGGUGGGAAAUCUUGCACAAUGGGCGGACGCCUGAUGCAGCAACGCCGCGAGCGUGAUGCCGUCCUUCGUGUUGUAAACCGCUUUCGCCUAUGACGUAGCGUGAUUGACGUUAAUGGGUGAAGAAGCACCGGCUAACUACGUG